AAUAAAUAAAUAUAUAAAUAAGGUAAAAUACCUAGUACCCGAUUCAGAAACUAGUACUCAAUCACUCCAUAUAUUUGUAUAUUUAUAUUUAGUCAAAUUAAAUAAAUAUAGACACACAAAUACAUGAGUGAUCGGACACUAGUUUCCUUAUCGAGUACUAGUUCUCUGAUCCGAGUACAAGUUCCCUGAUCAGGUACUAAUUUCUCAAUCGAGUAUUAAUUCCCUGGUAGGGUACAAACUCUCUGAUUGGCUACUAGUUUUCUGAUCGGGUGUGGAUUCCCUAAUCGGGUACUAAUUCUCUAAUCGAGUAUUAGUUCCCUGAUCAGGUGCUAGUUCUCUAGUCGAGUACUAGUUCCCUGAUCAAAUACUGGAUCUCUUACCUUACAAUUAUUUUUAAAAAUUUUUCAAUAUUAUAUACACUAAGUGGAAGUGUGAGUACAUCAGCGAACUCAUUGUUAUAAGGAAAUUGAAUUAGUGGUUACUGACAAUUUUCCCUUAGUCUAGUGUGGUUUUAACAUAUAGCAUACUCUACUCUACUGCUCACAGUCUACAUAGUCACGAUUCUCUAUAUAAUAGAAUAACAUACAUCUAUCGUACACAUGUGACGGUAUUAAUUUAUCAGGGCGCUCUAAUUACUUGUCGUCUAUAUCAAUUAUUAAAUAAACUACCGUGCUGUAGGUCAACUAAAACCUGUUUUCCAUCGUCUCUUUAAAUAAACAAAUUUUUAAUUAACCACUCUAUACUCUGCUUAAUUUUUUUAUUACUCCAUUAAAAGUAUAGAUAGCAAGUAUCCAACAAUGAAUUUUUUAUUUAUUAUUAUUAUAUUUUUAGUAUUCAUUAGCUCUAAAACGCGCGUCGCAAUAAAUAAAAGGCGCCAGUCGUCUCGGCACAACAAUGUUUUUAACUUUUUGAUACCAGCUAAGAAUUAGGUCACUUUAUAAUGUAUCACAAGCGGAGAUUAUUGUAUUUACCCUUUUGCGUAGUCAAUAUAGUGCUCACAUAAAACGUUUUAUGUUCGCAACCCUUGUGGUUUAUUAUAUUUAACGUCAGUGGCUUUAUUUUCCCGACAAUAAAAGUUAUUCAAAGCUGUCCAUUGUUCAAAAAUUUUCUUGUAGUUUUAUGCAGCGCUUCCAUAGUUACUGCUGCUACGAGAUACCUCGCGAUACCGAUCGACGGGAUGGA